AUUGAACGCUGGCGGCAUGCCUUACACAUGCAAGUCGAACGGACAGCACGGGGGCAACCCUGGUGGCGAGUGGCGAACGGGUGAGUAAUGCAUCGGAACGUGCCCCGUAGCGGGGGAUAACCAGUCGAAAGGACUGGCUAAUACCGCACUACGCUCCACGGAGGAAAGCAGGGGAUCGCAAGACCUUGCACUAUGGGAGCGGCCGAUGCCCGAUUAGCUAGUUGGUGAGGUAAAGGCUCACCAAGGCGACGAUCGGUAGCUGGUUUGAGAGAACGACCAGCCACACUGGGACU
rnacentral:rRNA from 1 species